GACAGGGAAGACAUCAAGAUGCUGGUCAAUAAAUGGUGGGAUAUUUACGAUGACGAGUCUUUGGACUACAAGAGCACUGUGGCUGCUGCUGGGGGAACUGAAGGGGGGCUGCAACCAUUCUUGGCUGCUGUCGGAGGCUGGUGUUGCUCACUACAUUAACGCCCCAUCUGCUGCCUAGGCCUAAGGCUAUUAGUAGUAGAAACAAUUUGUAUAUUGAAAAGAAACGCUUUAUUUUUUAUUAGGUGAGAAUAUUUUUAUUUUUACGAGUCCCCCAUGUAUUAGAAUUGGGGUGAUUUUCUCUCCUGUGAGGACCUUUUGAUGUUGUUGGUUUUCUUAAUUAUUUUGCAACAUUAUUAAAGUGUUUUUACUAUAAAAAAAAAAA
rnacentral:misc_RNA from 1 species